CCUGAACGCUGGCGGCGUGGCUAAGACAUGCAAGUCGCACGGGGUAGCAAUACCCAGUGGCGAACGGGUGAGUAAUGAAUCGCUAAUGUACCCUGGACUCUGGGAUAGCCGGUCGAAAGGCCGGGUAAUACCAGAUGAGACCACGAACAGGCAUCUGUUUGUGCUCAAAGGUCCGCCGGUCUGGGAGCAGGCGAUUUCGUAUCAGCUAGUUGGUGAGGUAACGGCUCACCAAGGCGACGACGCGUAGCCGGACUGAGAGGUUGGCCGGCCACAUCGGGACUGAGACACUGCCC
rnacentral:rRNA from 1 species